ACAUCAAAAUUUGCAUCCGCUAUUAGGCAGGGUCCACCUUCAAACAGAGCCAAGCAGCUCAGGGGGGUUUCGGAGUUGUGCAUCACAUACAGGAGCUUGGAGGGCUGACCUACAACGGACAGACAACACUUAAAACUGUCAGAUAAAUUCAAAAACUGUGGCGGAAAAGUAGCCAAAGACGCACAGGAGGAAUCAGCGGUACUGAAGAGGACAGUAACCGUAUGUCGAUGGAACUCGUAGUAACAUUUCUAAGGAGGUGCACAUCAGAAGCAUAAAUUCCCAAUAAAAGUGACUGCCUUACUGUUUUGGCCUAACUACAGCCAAUCAAACUGGAAAUUGAACCAGUACACCAGUACUUAUAUAGCUCGUUUUAAUGUAGCUGAGUACUCAAAGCACUUCCUACUACAAGUCUCACACUCACAUUCAUACAGUGUUUUUGUCUAUGCCUAAGUGUUUUCUAACACACAAACACACACACCCACAGAUGGAUGCAUCAGGGGCAACUUAGGGUUCGGCAUCUUGCCCAUGGAUACUUCAGGAUGCAGACUGGAGGAGAUGGGGAUCUAUGACGCUCUCUACCAGCUGAGCCACAGCUCGCGUGACAAAAAAAGUGACAUUUCUGGGGGGGGGUUAUAUGUUAUAUGUUAUCCUGCCUUUAUUGUGCCUAUAUUAUAGUCAAUCUAGUCCUUACUAUCUAUCUAGUGCUUAUCUAGUCCUUUAUAGAAUUUUGAUGUUAUAUUUGUCACAAUUUCUCUUGCCCUCUUUGCCAGAUCUCUCUAGACUUUUUUUUUUUUAUGUCAGUGACACUUUUAGCUGGAUAAAUAAGGGAAAUAUGAAAAUCACUUUGCAAAAAAACAAGUUCUGCUUUGUGAUAGAAAUGUUCUUUCUGACUCAAAAUGACUCAGUAUCGUUCAUGAGAGAUCUGUUUGAGAGAUUAUAGGCCAAUAAGUCAUUUAAAACAGUUCAAAUACCGGCAAUCUUUUUUUCUUUGCAAACAAUCACACGAAAAGGGGAUAAAAUACUCUGCAGCCCCACCUAGACAGGGACAUCAGGUCAACCUGAUGGGUGAGUGCAAUACGUCUGCAUUAAUGUGAUCUAUAAAUCUGAAUUCUAAA